ACCUACGGGAGGCAGCAGUGGGGAAUAUUGCACAAUGGGCGAAAGCCUGAUGCAGCAACGCCGCGUGAAGGAAGACGGUUUUCGGAUUGUAAACUUCUGUUCUUAGUGAAGAAAAUGACGGUACCUGACUAAGAAGCCCCGGCUAACUACGUGCCAGCAGCCGCGGUAAUACGUAGGGGGCAAGCGUUAUCCGGAUUUACUGGGUGUAAAGGGAGCGUAGGUGGCAUGGUAAGCCAGAAGUGAAAACCCGGGGCUCAACCCCGCGGAUUGCUUUUGGAACUAUCAGGCUGGAGUGCUGGAGGGGG
rnacentral:rRNA from 1 species